CUUUCAGUUACUGCCUACGCACCAAUCUUCGUCAGAAGCUCUGCUUUCAGUUGCAGGAACUGUCUUAAAUUUACCACAGUCAGCUAAAACCAACAGCCCAGGACAAGUGGACCAACUAGCAGGAUCCAGACCACCCAAACCAGCUGAUCUUGUGACAAUAUCGGGCCACCACUGAAAACAACAGCCCUGCUCUAGUCACUCUGGAAACUGACUAGGCUAUGCAUGGCCGAAUCCUGAGCAAGCAGCAGCCCUGCUCUGGUCACUCCAGAAGCUAACCAGUCCACGCACAGCUGAAGCUUGAGGAUCAACAUAAAGUCACAAUGACAACGUAAGUCU
rnacentral:lncRNA from 1 species